rnacentral:snoRNA from 1 species
UGCGUGGAUGAUGAAAACUGGACCUUAGGUAGGUCUUAUUUGGGCUGUUUUGGCCCAAAACUUUGGGCUUACCAAUGUUGGGGCUUGUCAUAGUUACACUGACACGCG